rnacentral:rRNA from 1 species
AUGAAUCCUUCCACAACUGGACCGUCAAGCUCAACCAACCCGCCGUCUCCACCUGCUGAAGAUGUUCAGAUUACUGGGAGCCGCUUUGUUGAGCCGGGGAACCCAACGGUGUUGGCUCGGUGCACAGCUAAGCAGGAAGCAUUGGAGAGGCAAAAGGUUCGCUUUGAUGUUGCCAACUACGACCGUCUUAAUGCUAGUGAUAUCUUAUCCGGCUAUCUCAGUCAUGUACAUUCCAGUCGUGAGUCUAAGAUCGAGAUGGUCAAGCAGCUUCAGUUGAAAUAUGAGACCCGGCUAGCGAGCCAGGAAUCAGAAAUCAAGUCUUCCACCUCCAAACUGCAAAUAAGCCUUUCUGAGACGGAGAAUUUGAAGACCAACUUUGCCUCCAAAGAGAAAACUUGGGAAGAUGAGAAAAUACUUCUGACCCGGCGAGUUGAGACAACCGAAAUAGCUCUGAAAGAAAUAUCAACCGAGCUGAACGCUUUAAAGGGUCGGGUGUCCCAGAUGGCCGCUGCUAUCUUUGGUCCGCGAAGUAAGAAUCUGAAUCAAGACUCGUUGAUUAAGCUGAAGGCGGUAUAUACUUUAACUGCACAAUUGUAUAUCGGCACACAACGAGCUCUGGCUGCCAUCUCUCCUACUAAUCAAGGGUCUAACCGGAUUAGUGACGUCCUAAAGAAGCUGUCCAUCCUUCCUGCCAGAUUCCAAGAAGUGAAACGCUCCUGCGCGUGA